rnacentral:rRNA from 1 species
AACGCGAAGAACCUUACCUGGGCUCGAAAUGUUAUGGACCGGGGUGGAAACAUCCCUUCCCAGCAAUGGGCCGUAAUAUAGGUGCUGCAUGGCUGUCGUCAGCUCGUGUCGUGAGAUGUUGGGUUAAGUCCCGCAACGAGCGCAACCCUUAUCUUCAGUUGCUACCAUUUAGUUGAGCACUCUGACGAAACCGCCUCGGAUAACGGGGAGGAAGGUGGGGAUGACGUCAAGUCCUCAUGGCCUUUAUGUCCAGGGCUACACACGUGCUACAAUGGCCGGUACAAACCGUCGCAAACCCGCGAGGGGGAGCUAAUCGGAAAAAGCCGGCCUCAGUUCGGAUCGCAGUCUGCAACUCGACUGCGUGAAGCUGGAAUCGCUAGUAAUCGCGGAUCAGAACGCCGCGGUGAAUACGUUCCCGGGCCUUGUACACACCGCGCAUA